UACGGAGGGUGCAAGCGUUAUCCGGAUUCACUGGGUUUAAAGGGUGCGUAGGUGGGCAAGUAAGUCAGUGGUGAAAUCUCCGGGCUUAACUCGGAAACUGCCAUUGAUACUAUUUGUCUUGAAUACUGUGGAGGUCAGCGGAAUAUGUCAUGUAGCGGUGAAAUGCUUAGAUAUGACAUAGAACACCAAUUGCGAAGGCAGCUGGCUACACAAAUAUUGACGCUGAGGCACGAAAGCGUGGGGAUCAAACAGG
rnacentral:rRNA from 1 species